UAGGGAAUCUUCCACAAUGGACGCAAGUCUGAUGGAGCAACGCCGCGUGAGUGAAGAAGGCUUUCGGGUCGUAAAACUCUGUUAUUGAAGAAGAACGUGUGUGACAGUAACUGGUCAUGCAGUGACGGUAUUCAAUCAGAAAAGUCACGGCUAACUACGUGCCAGCAGCCGCGGUAAUACGUAGGUGGCAAGCGUUGUCCGGAUUUAUUGGGCGUAAAGCGAGUGCAGGCGGUCUUUUAAGUCUGAUGUGAAAGCCUUCGGCUUAACCGAAGAAGGGCAUCGGAAACUGGGAGACUUGAGUGCAGAAGAGGAGAGUGGAACUCCAUGUGUAGCGGUGAAAUGCGUAGAUAUAUGGAAGAAACACCAGUGGCGAAAGGCGGCUCUCUGGUCUGUAACUGACGCUGAGGCUCGAAAAGCGUGGGUAGCAAACAGGAUUAGAUACCCUGGUAGUCCACGCC
rnacentral:rRNA from 1 species